UUCAUCCCUCUUCAGUUCAAUCGGAUCUUCAUGGUCCCUCGCAAUGGCUGCCCCUGCAGUCCACACCUUGACCAAGCCUCCCCCACCAUACACGUCUCGAUACGUAGCCGUCAUCGGCGCCGGAGCAGCAGGCCUCGUUGCGGUUCGAGAGCUCCGUCGAGAGGGUCACCGGCUUCGUCUAUGAGCGGGAGAGUCGGUCGGAGGUACAUGGGUCUACACGCCCAAGUUUAGUCAUCGGUGGCUUCAUCAGUUCAAUCUUUUCUUCGCUAGUUCGCCUCUCUCACCGUCUGGUCCGUCUUUGUUGAGCUGAUCGAGCAGAGGAGAUGUCGAAUGGGGAUACAUACGAGAAAAACCAUGACGAAAUCGAUUUGAGUUCUUUGGCAACAUAAGAGGGAAAUAUUGGAGAAUCCAUUCUAACAUUUACGGGAACGGGAGCACAAGCGCCGGUAGAGAAGAGAGAUACAGCCUCUGGUUUGACACGGCUGAAGAUUUUUCACCAGUACAACAUCCUCUGGACUGACUUUCAGAUCAUGUAAGCUUCUAUCUAAUUAUCAAAAGUGAAUUUUUACUUGUUCC